GGAAUUGCUAGUAAUGGCAGGUCAGCAUACUGCCGUGAAUACGUUCCCGGGCCUUGUACACACCGCCCGUCACACCAUGAGAGUUGGAAAUACCCGAAGCCUGUGAGCUAACUGUAAAGAGGCAGCAGUCGAAGGUAGAGCCAAUGAUUGGGGUGAAGUCGUAACAAGGUACC
rnacentral:rRNA from 1 species